rnacentral:tRNA from 1 species
AAAAUCCGUCGACUUUAUAAGUUGUGAGGGUAA